AUGUUAGUAUUCCUGAGAGAAGGUUAGCAUUCCUUUUGAUAAGGAUGGAUGAGGUCCAAGCAAUUUUAAUAACAUAUACACAGUUAAGCAUUGCCACCUGCUCUGUAGCAUCUGACCAUGAAAGUCU
ensembl:snRNA